rnacentral:rRNA from 1 species
GAUGAACGCUGGCGGCGUGCCUAAUACAUGCAAGUCGAGCGAACAGACGAGGAGCUUGCUCCUCUGACGUUAGCGGCGGACGGGUGAGUAACACGUGGAUAACCUACCUAUAAGACUGGGAUAACUUCGGGAAACCGGAGCUAAUACCGGAUAAUAUAUUGAACCGCAUGGUUCAAUAGUGAAAGACGGUUUUGCUGUCACUUAUAGAUGGAUCCGCGCCGCAUUAGCUAGUUGGUAAGGUAACGGCUUACCAAGGCAACGAUGCGUAGCCGACCUGAGAGAGUGAUCGGCCACACUGGAAGUGAGACACGGUCCAGACUCCUACGGGAGGCAGCAGUAGGGAAUCUUGCGCAAUGGGCGAAAGCCUGACGGAGCAACGCCGCGUGAGUGAUGAAGGUCUUCGGAUCGUAAAACUCUGUUAUUAGGGAAGAACAAAUGUGUAAGUAACUAUGCACGUCUUGACGGUACCUAGUCAGAAAGCCACGGCUAACUACGUG